CAACCGUAGCUCGCCGGCGCGCAAAACCCUAAGCUCCAGUAGCCAUGGAUUCUGAUCUGGGCAAGCUCUUCAUCGGCGGGAUCUCGUGGGAGACGACGGAGGAGAAGCUCAUGGAGUACUUUGGCCAGUACGGCGCUGUCCUGCAGGCCGUCGUCAUGCGGGACAAGGUCACCAAUCGCCCCCGCGGCUUCGGAUUCGUCGCCUUCGCCGAUCCCUCCGUCCUCGAUACCGUCCUCGCCGCCCAACACACCAUUGACGGCCGCACGGUGGAAGCCAAAAGGGCUCUUUCACGAGAGGAGCAACAAUCCUCCGGCAGAUCUGGAAACCCUGGUGCUGGAAGAGCCUUUGGAGGCGGUGGCAGCGCUGGUGCCGGUGGCAAUAUUAGAACAAAGAAGAUAUUCGUCGGAGGGUUGCCUCCGACUCUAACUGACGAGGGACUCCGUCAGUACUUUCAGCCUUAUGGUGAUGUGACAGACGUGAUUGUGAUGUAUGAUUCGAACACCCAAAGACCUCGUGGUUUUGGAUUUGUCACUUUUUUCUCG
rnacentral:misc_RNA from 1 species